UGAGCGGCGGACGGGUUAGUAACGCGUGGGAACGUACCCAGAUCUAAGGAAUAGCCACUGGAAACGGUGAGUAAUACCUUAUACGCCCUUCGGGGGAAAGAUUUAUCGGAUUUGGAUCGGCCCGCGUUAGAUUAGGUAGUUGGUGGGGUAAUGGCCUACCAAGCCUACGAUCUAUAGCUGGUUUUAGAGGAUGAUCAGCAACACUGGGACUGAGACACGGCCCAGACUCCUACGGGAGGCAGCAGUGGGGAAUCUUAGACAAUGGGGGAAACCCUGAUCUAGCCAUGCCGCGUGAGUGAAGAAGGUCUUAGGAUCGUAAAGCUCUUUCGCCAGGGAUGAUAAUGACAGUACCUGGUAAAGAAACCCCGGCUAACUCCGUGCCAGCAGCCGCGGUAAUACGGAGGGGGUUAGCGUUGUUCGGAAUUACUGGGCGUAAAGCGCGCGUAGGCGGAUCAGAAAGUUGGGGGUGAAAUCCCAGGGCUCAACCCUGGAACUGCCUCCAAAACUCCUGGUCUUGAGUUCGAGAGAGGUGAGUGGAACUCCGAGUGUAGAGGUGAAAUUCGUAGAUAUUCGGAAGAACACCAGUGGCGAAGGCGGCUCACUGGCUCGAUACUGACGCUGAGGUGCGAAAGUGUGGGGAGCAAACAGGAUUAGAUACCCUGGUAGUCCACACCGUAAACGAUGAAUGCCAGUCGUCGGGUAGUAUACUAUUCGGUGACACACCUAACGGAUUAAGCAUUCCGCCUGGGGAGUACGGUCGCAAGAUUAAAACU
rnacentral:rRNA from 1 species